rnacentral:misc_RNA from 1 species
AUACAUAUAACUUUCGUUUUAGAACAAAGAGUAAGUAGAUGAGUAAUAGCAAGUAUACUUCCUUCGUGCUGUUUAUAACUUGACUUCCAUAUAUGAUUCUUGUACUGAGACACGACAACCUAUCAACUAUGGCUCCUUAACGGUUUCUUCUAUGAAGUUUAACGGGAUGUGUCCGGAAUGGGUUUUGAAAUGCUUUUCGGCGCCUUUUUAAUGCUUAUAUUCAAGGAACUUCAUUGUUUUGAAUGUCAUGGUAAUCCUGACGCUUACAUCGAUAGAGGAGACAGGUAUUGUCAGAAAGUCUACAACUGUAAGACAGAUCAUGAAAUAAUUGACUGCUCCGUUAAUUGUGAGUCCGAUAGGUGCAGGGCGUGUCCGCCCGGUCAGGUUCAGCCGUUCCUGAUUCAGUCCACUACACCCGAGGUAGACAGGAAAUGCUUCGCCCCCAAAGGCGUGUGCGACCAAGACUCGGUCCCUGUUCGCAAUGGUAGUUCAGUUCCUGGAUGUCGUAAGACGACUUGCCAGUGUUAUUUGUACGACUGUUGGUACGGAGAAAACCCAUGUAUUUGUAACAAGUACCACAGGAAGUGUCCUGUGAAUGAAUAUUUUAUAUAUGAAGGAGGCAGGCCUGGUUGCAAGAAAUGUCCACCCGGCACAAAUAAAGAGAUUGUAGGUUGCGGGCCUUGUCGGACGAUUCCCGUGACCCCAGACACCAACAUUUCUACAACCACCGCAACCACAGAAAAAUCAACCACCGCAGCCACAGAAAGAUCAUCCACAACUUCCGGCUUUUCGACAUUGACCUCAGAGAUGACAACCUUGUCUAUCACAACUCCAUCUACAGAAGAAAAGGAGAAUAAUUUUUGGCUCAUUAUAAUUGGAUCAGCUGGUUCCGGAUUUAUCGUUAUUGUUCUUUUAAUAGGAAUCUUCGUCUGUGUGCGAAGGAGUCGUUCAAAUGGUGGUACGCUUUAAGAUAAUUCCUAUAAAAAAAAAUUUACUACCGUUUAUUCAAGAAAAUGAGAAAACUGGCUUUUUAUAAAGAACACACAAAAUUAUGUUUAAUCAGGCAUUCUGAAUGAAGCGGAAAAAAGGGAGGAAAAUGCAGAUGAAGCAGAAAAUGAAAUUGGAACAGUUUCAAGACCUCUUAUUGUGCCUGAAGUCAGUCUGCUGUCAGAGGCCUGUUCUACUCCGAGGUCUCCUGUCGUCUCUGAGACGGGACAGCCCGGGGUGUAUCAUCCCACCGACCCGCGGGCAUUGUGGCACAUCAGGGCUCUCCAGGGGCGAUCACUAGAGGAUGAAUCUCACACCGAUUCCUCUAUGAAUACUUCAGAAGUCGAGGACAGGGAACUUUUGAAUUCUUCUGGCAUAGAAACACCAGCGGUGGAUUCAAAGGGAAAUUCGGAAGGUGUCAACUAUUUUAUUAAUAAGUUGAACAACGAAGAUACCCAACCUAAACAGCCAGUUCAAUGUGAAGAAGAUACUCUGGGGUCCCAUACAGUCCAAAAAUACCUUUACAGUGACGUCACACACCAAAAGGAGGUUCUGUGUGAGCAAGGGUUUCACAGUCUGACCAACGAAAAAUCGCUUUGUCCCCUCAGAUGUGUGUCGGACAAAACUGACCCCAAAUAUUGCACGGAUUCAUAAGAUUAAAACACUGGUUGUUAUUUGAUAUUUGAUGCAGUUUUCCUCUAAUGUGCAAAAUGUUCUUGGAGUGCAUGCAACAUGCACUAACAUUCCAAAAUUAGAAUCGCCAUUGUACAAUUUGUGAAGUCCGAGUAUGCAACGUGUAACGUUAGCGGUAUUCGGAUCACUGUCUAGUCAGCUCAGAUGUGAUUUACAAGUACGUGUGUACUUACACCUGAUCUCGCUUACUAGUAUCCCAGACUGCGAGCAGUUCUCGAGAGCGAGAGUCUGGGAUAAGCGAGACUAAUUCUUGUGUAAGGAAGCAAAAUCUUCUUAAAAGGAAAAAGCUGUUUAUGACUUGCAUAACUUUAAUGGAGAUUAAACUGUAUAAUUUUAUGUUUUCAUUUUAUGGUAUAUGCUUUCGAUAAUUUACUUGUGGAAUUGGCAUUAUGUUAUUAAAUAUAUUUUGUUUUG